rnacentral:rRNA from 1 species
GACGAACGCUGGCGGCGUGCUUAACACAUGCAAGUCGAACGGAAAGGCCCUGCUUUUGUGGGGUGCUCGAGUGGCGAACGGGUGAGUAACACGUGAGUAACCUGCCCUUGACUUUGGGAUAACUUCAGGAAACUGGGGCUAAUACCGGAUAGGAGCUCCUGCUGCAUGGUGGGGGUUGGAAAGUUUCGGCGGUUGGGGAUGGACUCGCGGCUUAUCAGCUUGUUGGUGGGGUAGUGGCUUACCAAGGCUUUGACGGGUAGCCGGCCUGAGAGGGUGACCGGCCACAAUGGGACUGAGGUACGGGCCAGACUCCUACGGGAGGCAGGAGGGGGGAAUAUUGCACAAUGGGCGGAAGCCUGAUGCAGCAACGCCGCGUGCGGGAUGACGGCCUUCGGGAUGUAAACCGCUUUCGCCUGUGACGAAGCGUGAGUGACGGUAAUGGGUAAAGAAGCACCGGCUAACUACGUG